ensembl:snoRNA small nucleolar RNA SNORD65
ACCUGAUCAAAUCACCCAAAAUAGCUGGAAUUACUGGCAGAAAGUGUAGUGCUGAACCCUUAAUUUUCUGAAG